UACAGAGGGGGCAAGCGUUGUUCGGAAUUACUGGGCGUAAAGGGCUCGUAGGCGGCCAACUAAGUCGGACGUGAAAUCCCUCGGCUUAACCGGGGAACUGCGUCCGAUACUGGAUGGCUGGAGGUUGGGAGAGGGAUGCGGAAUUCCAGGUGUAGCGGUGAAAUGCGUAGAUAUCUGGAGGAACACCGGUGGCGAAGGCGGCAUCCUGGACCAAUUCUGACGCUGAGGAGCGAAAGCCAGGGGAGCAAACGGG
rnacentral:rRNA from 1 species